rnacentral:rRNA from 1 species
GGGAUUGCCUUAGUAACGGCGAGUGAAGCGGCAAUAGCUCAAAUUUGAAAUCUGGCCUUUUUAGGGUCCGAGUUGUAAUUUGUAGAGAGUGUUUCGGGUGAGUCCGCGGUCUAAGUCUAUUGGAACAUAGUGUCAUAGAGGGUGAGAAUCCCGUAUGUGGCCGCGGUACGAGUCCAUGUGAAACCUCUUCGACGAGUCGAGUUGUUUGGGAAUGCAGCUCAAAAUGGGUGGUAAAUUUCAUCUAAAGCUAAAUACCGGCUGGAGACCGAUAGCGCACAAGUAGAGUGAUCGAAAGAUGAAAAGCACUUUGGAAAGAGAGUUAAACAGUACGUGAAAUUGUUGAAAGGGAAGCGCUUGCAACCAGACCUGCCCGUAGGCGAUCAGUCGCUGUUCUCAGCGGUGUACUCGUCCUACGAUCAGGCCAGCAUCGGUUUUGGCGGUCGGAUAAAGGCCUUGGGAAUGUAGCUUCCUCUCGGGGGAGUCUUAUAGCCCUCGGUGUAAUGCGGCCAGUCGAGACCGAGGACCGCGCUUCGGCUAGGAUGCUGGCGUAAUGGUUGUCAGCGACCCGUCUUGAAACACGGACCAAGGAGUCUAACAUCUAUGCGAGUGUUUGGGCGUUAAACCCAUACGCGGAAUGAAAGUGAACGGAGGUGAGAACCCUUAAGGGCGCAUCAUCGACCGAUCCAGAUGUCUUCGGAUGGAUUUGAGUAUGAGCAUAGCCGUUGGGACCCGAAAGAUGGUGAACUAUGCCUGAAUAGGGUGAAGCCAGAGGAAACUCUGGUGGAGGCUCGCAGCGGUUCUGACGUGCAAAUCGAUCGUCAAAUUUGGGUAUAGGGGCGAAAGACUAAUCG